rfam:Gossypium raimondii Chr01_contig_1318, whole genome shotgun sequence.
UGUUAGAAUUUUUAUACAUUUCUAUUGUUAAAAACUGGUGUGGCUAGCAGAAUAAUCAGAUCAUUGUGAAGUAUAGGGAUCAGGUUUUUACCAAUAGAAAUGGACAAAAUUUUUAACA